rnacentral:rRNA from 1 species
AUUGAACGCUGGCGGCAGGCUUAACACAUGCAAGUCGAACGAGUGGCGGACGGGUGAGUAAUGCUUGGGAAUCUCGCCUAUGGAGGGGGAUAAAUAAGGGAAACUGUAGCUAAUACCGCGUCCCAUAGGAGGAGCCCAAGUGGGAUUAGGUAGGUGUGGUGGUAAAGGCUCACCAAGCCCACGUUCUCUAGCUGGUCUGUGAGGAUGACCAGCCACACUGGGACUGAGACACGCACCAGACUCCGACGGGAGGCAGCAGUGGUGAAUAUUGGGCAAUGGGGGCAACCUGACGCAGCCAUGCCGCGUGAAUGAAGAAGGCCUUCGGGUUGUAAAGUUCUUUCGGUAGCGAGGCGUUAACUACAGAAGAAGCACUGGCUAACUCCGUGCCAGCAGCCGCGGUAAUUC